GUUCACUAUGCUUAAUUGGUUAAACCUGGUGGGAGUAUCUAGGCGCUAAAGUAAACAGAAGCUUCCAGGGAAGCUUGAGUUUUGAGCAGCAGAGAAUCCGAUGGAAGCAUUUCUGGAGCUGGGGGAAAGCUAAGAUGAUUCAUUGGGCCUGGGACCAAUGUGUUCGUCAGUCACUUUUGAUUCUUGGAGAAACCUGCAGUCUGAACUUUCUCACUCCCCUCCCUGAAGGAGGCAACACAGAGGUCAGCUAGAACGACACAGUAAGCACAAAUGAAAUGUGUCUGAAUAAAAGAUAACCUUGCCAUGGCUGAAGUGUCUAAAGGAAGGCUUAUUUUAUAAGAUAAUGGACUGUGGUAGAGCUUUUGGGUUUCAUCUGCCACUGGCUCUAACCCUAGGCUUUGCCAUUAGGAUGAGGCACAGGCCAGAGGCCAGGAAUUCUCCCCGGGAGGAGAGAAGGCAGCUCAGAGGGUGCAUAACCCAGCACUGCACUGACAUUUCUUUUUGAAGCUGUCUGCUGAUGCAAUAUUGAUCAAGCUAAGAGCAGGUCAACUCGUUGCCCUUCCCCAGGGGAAGAUGGGAGGUUUGUGCCAUGAGAUGGUCAGAUGCAGCACAAGAGUUAAGAUCAGCAGCUGAACUGUAAACAUUACUAAAAUGUCACGGCUGGAAGAAUUCAAAGCUCC